rnacentral:lncRNA from 1 species
ACGUGCUGGUGCUUCCCCUUCAGGACCUUCAGCUUAGCUAAGUGUGAAAAAAAAAAAAAAAGGGACACCAGCAUUUAAUAAUAAUAAUGAUGAUGAUGAUGAUGAUAAUACCAGUAAUAGUAAUCAUAAUAAAAAGAAAGUGUUGGCAGGUGGUCAGAGGGGCCUUGCCAGUCAGCUACCUUCUUGCUUGUGUUCCUGGUAUUUCUAAUAACAUUAACAAUGUAUUCUAGCCCUUUCUUGUGUUCCUGGUGUUUCUAAUAACAUUAACAAUGUACUGUAGCCGACAGAGCUGCAGGCCAGGAGCUAGGAGAGAAAGUAGGCAGCAACCUCUGAUUUGCCGCUUAAUGGUCGGCUUUGGGUAAACUACUCAAACUCUGAAAACUUAUAUUCCGCACCCCAUGCCUGCACAGUCUGAUGGCGGGGGUUCCCUUCCACCACUGAGAUUUUAGGGUCUGUGCCCUCCGCACUUACUUUGUCUUUUGCUCCGAGCAUCGGGCCCGAGAGGAUUUUCGGAAGAUUUCAUUCUCCCCUUCUUGGAUGGUUUGGCCCAGCAUCCAGCCAACCAGAGGAAGGAAUUGCCUGGGACUAAUUGAGGAUAUUUUUCCCCCCCAGGACAGGAAGAGGUGGGUCAGUAGGAGACUGGGAGGUGAAGGUGACUCAGCCUGUUUUAAGUUGGUCAUCCCUGAUGGAAAAAAAAAAAUAAGAUAGUGUCUUUGCUAGGAUGUGAGCGCUAACACUCAGGGGAGGUGGCUGUGUACUGUACCCAGCUGGUGGCAGGUUUGGGUGUUGGGAGUACGUGGGCUGUGUUCUCUCCUUUUCCACGAGGAGGCUAAGCCGGGAGGCAGCUGGGAGGUGCGAUCCACACACCUCUUCUUUCGCUCGCAGGCUGUGUUGUAAGUGGACUGACUUCCUUAGUCAGCCUGGAGGCCGCCCCAGGGAGCCGCGCCCACGCUCAGGCCCGUUGAAGCUGAUGGAGACUUGGCAUCCUGAAAUUUCGUCUGCAACUGUUCGGAAGUCCUACAGGAUCUCCCAGUAGCAUCAAUCAAGGCAGUCUCUCCACACUCCUGACCUCGUCGCUUGUAUUUGGGACCGUCCACGGAGCUGGAAAAAGCUUUUUCUGGAAUGCGCUAAUUCGGAUAGAGGCAUGUGGAGCAGGUCCUACAUCUAUCUACCUAUGUGAAAAGUCACAGUUAGAGCUGUGCACACAGGCGGAGGGGAAAGCUGAUCACUGGAGUGCUCUGGAGGCUACGAGAAAAUUCUUCAAGACCAAAUCCCCUUCUGCUGAAUUGAUUGAAACUUCUGCAGCUCUGUUCUCCAGAAGACUCACACGUACAGCUGUUUACGGGGAUGGAGACGCUGGUGGGUUACUGGAUCAUCUACCUUUGUCCAAGCCUCUGAGCUGAGCUGCCUCCUCCCUCACCCUCAUUGCCCGCACAUCGGCUUCCCUUUCCUCUCUGUUAUGUAAUCUUUAUGUGAGGGUUCUGGAACUUCUCCAGAAAGUACAUUUGAUGUGAGGCUGAGUGGCCUCUGACUCUUGAGAGGAAGCCAAAGACACAGAAAUGCAUUCAGGAGACUUUAGAGCAGAAGAGAAGAGUGUGCCCCGGAGACCGUCUCCUGGGAGAUGGUUGGAUGAGACUGGUUGGAAUGUACCACAGAUGGCUUGGACACUGGACAAGUGCAAAGCAGGUGCCUGGAUGGGAAUCCUUCGUGCAUUCUCCUCACCUGUAGAGCAAAGGGCACCAGCUCUGUGAUGUUCUUUCUAUGCCGGUGAUUCUCACCUUGAUCACAUAUUAAAAUCAUCAGUGGCACUUCAAAUGUCCAGACCAUUCCCCAUGCCAGAGUCUUUGGGGGUCAGGACCAUGGAUCAGUAUAUGUUUUAAGAUGUCCAGGUGAAUUCCAGGAUGCCAACCAGGUUGAGAACCAUGCAAUGUAAAUUCAUGAUUUAAUAUGUCAGGCAGUAUAUCAGAUGCUAUCACAGACUGAAGGUUUGUGUCUCCCUACCCCCAAAUUUAUAUGUUGAAAACCCAACCCCAGUGUGAUCCUAUUUGGAGGUGGGGGCUGUGGGAGAUGAUGGGGUCAUGAGGGAGGACAUUUUUUUGUUCCCUUUUCAAGUUUUUAUUUAAAUUCUAGUUCAUUUAUAUGUAGUAUAAUAUUAAUUUCAGGAGUAAAACUUAGUUCAUCACUUACUUAUAGCACAUAGGGCUCAUCGCAAGUGUCCUCCUUGUACCCGUCUCUCAUCUAGCCCAUCCCCCACUCCCCUCCCCUCCAGCAACUGUGGUGUGUUCCCUCUAGUUAAGAGUCUCUUAUGGUUUCCCCCUCUCUCGUUUAUUUCCCUAUCCCUAUGUCCAUCUGUUUUGUUUCUUAAAUUCUACAUAUGAGUGAAAUCAUAUGGUAUUUGUCUUU